GUUUAGCCCCGAUUGAAGUGGAAAUCCUUUUUAUCCGCCGCGGCGGAUAAAAAGAUUGAAACGUAAAGCGGGACUUUAU
rnacentral:sRNA from 1 species